GAAAGUACCGGUAAUUAACUACCGCACUACCGACCCGGUACGGGGAAAGGCCGGGGAUCUUCGGACCUGGCGCUAGUAGAUGAGCCCGCGUGAGAUUAGCUUGUUGGUGGGGUAAUGGCCUACCAAGGCAACGAUCUCUAGCUGGUCUGAGAGGACGAUCAGCCACACUGGGACUGAGACACGGCCCAGACUCCUACGGGAGGCAGCAGUGGGGAAUAUUGGACAAUGGGCGAAAGCCUGAUCCAGCAAUGCCGCGUGUGUGAAGAAGGCCUGAGGGUUGUAAAGCACUUUCAAUCGUGAAGAAAAGUUGCAGGCUAAUACCCUGUGACCUUGACGUUAACGAUACAAGAAGCACCGGCUAACUCCGUG
rnacentral:rRNA from 1 species